AACGAACGCUGGCGGCAUGCCUAACACAUGCAAGUCGAACGAGUCCUUCGGGUCUAGUGGCGCACGGGUGCGUAACGCGUGGGAACCUGCCCUUAGGUUCGGAAUAACUCCCCGAAAGGGGUGCUAAUACCGGAUAAUGUCUUCGGACCAAAGAUUUAUCGCCUUUGGAUGGGCCCGCGUUGGAUUAGCUAGUUGGUAGGGUAAAAGCCUACCAAGGCGACGAUCCAUAGCUGGUCUGAGAGGAUGAUCAGCCACACUGGGACUGAGACACGGCCCAGACUCCUACGGGAGGCAGCAGUGGGGAAUAUUGGACAAUGGGCGAAAGCCUGAUCCAGCAAUGCCGCGUGAGUGAUGAAGGCCUUAGGGUUGUAAAGCUCUUUUACCCGGGAUGAUAAUGACAGUACCGGGAGAAUAGCUCCGGCUAACUCCGUG
rnacentral:rRNA from 1 species